rnacentral:rRNA from 1 species
GAUGAACGCUGGCGGCGUGCCUAAUACAUGCAAGUCGAGCGAUGAUUAAAGAUAGCUUGCUAUUUUUAUGAAGAGCGGCGAACGGGUGAGUAACGCGUGGGAAAUCUGCCGAGUAGCGGGGGACAACGUUUGGAAACGAACGCUAAUACCGCAUAACAAUGAGAAUCGCAUGAUUCUUAUUUGAAAGAAGCAAUUGCUUCACUACUUGAUGAUCCCGCGUUGUAUUAGCUAGUUGGUAGUGUAAUGGACUACCAAGGCGAUGAUACAUAGCCGACCUGAGAGGGGGAUCGGCCACACUGGGACUGAGACACGGCCCAGACUCCUACGGGAGGCAGCAGUAGGGAAUCUUCGGCAAUGGGGGCAACCCUGACCGAGCAACGCCGCGUGAGUGAAGAAGGUUUUCGGAUCGUAAAACUCUGUUGUUAGAGAAGAACGUUAAGUAGAGUGGAAAAUUACUUAAGUGACGGUAUCUAACCAGAAAGGGACGGCUAACUACGUGCCAGCAGCCGCCGUAAGAC